rnacentral:sRNA from 1 species
UGCGAUUGGGCCUCUGUAUUCUGCGUUA